UACGUAGGGUGCGAGCGUUAAUCGGAAUUACUGGGCGUAAAGUGUGCGCAGGCGGCAGAGCAAGUCGAGUGUGAAAGCCCCGGGCUUAACUUGGGAAUUGCGCUCGAAACUACUUUGCUGGAGUGUGGCAGAGGAAGGUGGAAUUCCACGUGUAGCGGUGAAAUGCGUAGAGAUGUGGAGGAACACCAAUGGCGAAGGCAGCCUUCUGGGCCAACACUGACGCUCAUGCACGAAAGCGUGGGGAGCAAGACGG
rnacentral:rRNA from 1 species